UCGGGAAUUUUGGGCAAUGGGCGAAAGCCUGACCCAGCAACGCCGCGUGAAGGAUGAAGUCUCUCGGGAUGUAAACUUCGUAAGAAUAGGAAGAAUAAAUGACGGUACUAUUUAUAAGGUCCGGCUAACUACGUGCCAGCAGCCGCGGUAAUACGUAGGGACCAAGCGUUGUUCGGAUUUACUGGGCGUAAAGGGCGCGUAGGCGGCAAUUCAAGUCAUCUGUGAAAUCUCCGGGCUUAACUCGGAACGGUCAGAUGAUACUGUCGCGCUAGAGUGCAGAAGGGGCAAUCGGAAUUCUUGGUGUAGCGGUGAAAUGCGUAGAUAUCAAGAGGAACACCUGAGGUGAAGACGGGUUGCUGGGCUGACACUGACGCUGAGGCGCGAAAGCCAGGGGAGCAAACGGGAUUAGAUACCCAAGUAGUCCCUGAGCGGGCUGGCAAGGCGCAU
rnacentral:rRNA from 1 species